rnacentral:lncRNA from 1 species
UAACAGGCCUCCGGUGGAGGGCGGGGACCCUCGGAAGCCAGCUGGGUGGCGAUCGCUUGUCUGCCUUGGCAGGCCCCUUGUGCAGUCUUUUCCCGGCGUGAGCGUGCAGGGAUUGAAAAGGAAUGCUUUAUGGUUCAGCAGAGAGUCACCACGCAGGAUGUACUGGGACCUGUGAACCGUCGGGCAGUCCCACGAGCUCUUUCAUGACCAGCUCCAACCGACAAGUACACGCCCCUUCUCUCACUCCACUAGCUAGUAAGCUGAGCUACAAGGUGUGCCAGGCACCCAGGACGCCGAUUCACCGCUUCAGAGCCCUCUUUCUUCCAUUCAUUUACUUGUCUAGUCAAACACCCAUCAGACCUUUGCCAGGUGUCCAGCCUGGGCACUACGUUUCAGAAAAUGAUGCACAUAGAAUCCCUAACUGAAAGGAGAUCGCAGCUCAUUUGGUACAAAGUGCAUCCCAACACAGAAGACAGGCUCCAUAGCGUCAUUGAGCAAAUGGCUGAAUGAAUGAAGUCAAUGAAUGAAUGGACAAAUACUUGAGUAACGGCAGAGUCCCAAAACACAUGAAGCAAGAACUGACAGAACUGGAGGGAGACAUCAAUCAAUAACAACAGCUGGAGAAUUCAAUACCCUGCUCUGAAUAAUGGAUAGAACAAUUAGGCAGAAGACCAACAAAGAAAGAGGAUAUUUGAACAACGUGAUAAGCCAAUUUGACCUAAUAAAUAUCUUUAUCUGUGAAACACCCUAGCUUUUAGCCUGGGUAAGGAGCUGGAGAGAUGUGAAAAUGUGGAAAGCAAGCCUAAGUCGCAGUGUGGCCUAUGCCUGAGAGCCAUCUUCAGUGCCCCCUUGUGGCUGUAUCUGGGAACCACAGACAGAAUCAUGGAACUGACCAUCUUCAGUCUCAAAGGGCUGCCCUCACCACU